AUAUAUAUAUAGUUUGAAAGAUUCAAAAUUAUCGUUUUGCAACACAAGUACAGACUAGGCGAAAGAGUGAAAACAGUGUGAAUUGUCAGUUUAAUGUUUAGGGCUUCACUUCAACAAGCGGGUAGCGAACUUUGUACUGCAUCAUCAGAGACCACACAAGAUGUUUAUGUUUGUACCGACUCGAAGGUGGUUAAUGUAACUGAAGCAAGGUUGCAAAGCAGCUCCGUAUCGGCAACAUGCAGCUGCUACAUACAGCAACACAGUGGAUUAAACUAUACUGUUGAAUUUAAUCGGGAUCCAAACUUUUCUAGCAAUUAUUAUUUCUGUGGGACAAGUAUUCAAAUUUCAAACCUCCAGUUCACGUGCUCAUCGGGUUCAACAGUUUUUGAGAGUUUAACAGCUUCAACUAUGAUAACAUACUAUCGAGGCGAAGAAAACUCGUCUUGGUGUAUGACGUUCA